UUUCCGUAGGUGAACCUGCGGAAGGAUCAUUAAAGAAUUUAAAGAGUGCACUUCAUUGUGGCUCGACAUUUCCUACCAUUCACCCUAGUGCACUGUAAUACCUUUUUUUAUUAGACUCUACAAAGUUAUUGAAUGUAACACUUUCUUAUAAAGAAAUAAAACUUUUAACAACGGAUCUCUUGGCUCUC
rnacentral:misc_RNA from 1 species